rnacentral:miRNA from 1 species
AUUAGGUUGGUGCAAAAGUAAUUGCGGUUUUGGGCAUUACUGUUAAUGGCAAAAACUGCAAUUACUUUUGCACGAACCUAAUA